rfam:Peptostreptococcaceae bacterium AS15 ctg120005099223, whole genome shotgun sequence.
CAACCCAUACAGUGAUGUAUGACUAAAAGAUAAGAAGUAAGCAGAGUUAUAGUACCAUAAAUGGGAAGAAC